GAUGAACGCUGGCGGCGUGCCUAAUACAUGCAAGUCGAGCGAACAGAUGAGGAGCUUGCUCCUCUGACGUUAGCGGCGGACGGGUGAGUAACACGUGGAUAACCUACCUAUAAGACUGGGAUAACUUCGGGAAACCGGAGCUAAUACCGGAUAAUAUAUUGAACCGCAUGGUUCAAUAGUGAAAGACGGUUUUGCUGUCACUUAUAGAUGGAUCCGCGCCGCAUUAGCUAGUUGGUAAGGUAACGGCUUACCAAGGCAACGAUGCGUAGCCGACCUGAGAGGGUGAUCGGCCACCCUGGAACUGAGACACGGUCCAGACUCCUAAGGGAGGCAGCAGUAGGGAAUCUUCCGCAAUGGGCGAAAGCCUGACGGAGCAACGCCGCGUGAGUGAUGAAGGUCUUCGGAUCGUAAAACUCUGUUAUUAGGGAAGAACAAAUGUGUAAGUAACUAUGCACGUCUUGACGGUACCUAAUCAGAAAGCCACGGCUAACUACGUG
rnacentral:rRNA from 1 species